ACGCACGCUGGCGGCGUGCUUAACACCUGCAAGUCGCACGGAAAGGCCCUGCUUGCAGGGUACUCGAGUGGCGAACGGGUGAGUAACACGUGGGUGAUCUGCCCUGCACUUCGGGAUAAGCCUGGGAAACUGGGUCUAAUACCGGAUAGGAGCCAUUUUUAGUGUGAUGGUUGGAAAGUUUUUUCGGUGUAGGAUGAGCUCGCGGCCUAUCAGCUUGUUGGUGGGGUAAUGGCCUACCAAGGCGGCGACGGGUAGCCGGCCUGAGAGGGUGGACGGCCACAUUGGGACUGAGAUACGGCCCAGACUCCUACGGGAGGCAGCGGUGGGGAAUAUUGCACAAUGGGCGCAAGCCUGAUGCAGCGACGCCGCGUGGGGGAUGACGGCCUUCGGGUUGUAAACUCCUUUCGCUAGGGACGAAGCUUUUUGUGACGGUACCUAGAUAAGAAGCACCGGCUAACUACGUG
rnacentral:rRNA from 1 species